CACCGGGACCCGAUGAAGAAACCGCCCCAGCUCUGAGUCUCACUCGCUUCUUGCUUCGGUAUCCCACGCUGAACCGCAUCAUAUCGCCGGGAUGAUAAUCUUCCGGUAUAUAGUGAUCGCUAAAUUACACACCACCGCGUUGUUUGAAGCAGAUGCAUUAAGUCUCUUCAGCUGCACAAACGCACCGAGGCCCGGAAGAUACCGUCCUAUUUCUUGUCAGGAAACCUUGUGGACUCGAUGUCCUGACAGGCUGGAGUUUGUGCAACCUCCACAAACACAAUAAUUUACCAUGACGAUGAUAAACCGAAAAAAAUAACUACCUAAAACACACGGACUCGCGCGCGCUCCACUGAACACCAGCAGCGCGCGCGCACACGACUCCCUCUCGUGACGUAAUGUGACGCGAUGUUGAUGAUUUUACGUUUAAAAUAAUUUUUGGAAUGUGUUUACAAUUUAUGUUGUAUGUGUGUGUAUAUAUAUAAACACCUAUAUAUAUAUAUAUACUUUUAGCUUCUUUCAUUUUGGUUGGUUGACAGAUGCUCUCUCCUUCAUUCCCGCCGAGGCCUGGUUUUACUGCGAGUCUGAAGCUACUCAGAGGAGAGAAUUCAUCAAAUGAAUUGGCCCAGACGUCUGCAGUGUCAAGUGAAGGAAGCUCCUCUCAUAAGAUUGCAGACCUGGAGUCUGAUGACACCGAGCGAGUGAUGGAGGGAGCAGAAUGAUGAAGAUGAAGCCAGAAUUAAGCCAAGUUCCUGGCUUUUCCCAAGACCUUCAAGGACACGAUUGACCUCGGAAUCAGCUGUAAAGGAGGAUGAAACCGAUGUUUAAGAACGGGACAGCGAUUAUUGCAUCAAUUUGUCUCCUUCAUUUGGUUCCACCAUCACCACAAGGCUGCAAGGGACCUGGAGAAAUGUCCUCCUAUCAAACUGAAAAACAUCUUCGAAAAGGCACUAACCAGAAGAACACCUUGUAGAGACCACACAGCCGUACCUGCUCGCUGAUGGGACAACGAGGAACAGCGUUCAUGGACGCUACACAACAGUCGACAAGUAUCUUGCUGCAGUCUUGUUCAAAUCUACCUGUCAUAUUUGUUCGUGUUUUAUUAACUAUUUUAUGUUUCCGUGCAACACUUAACGAAUGUGACUGACUAAUUAACCUCUGCACAUCUGGUAUAUGCUUUAAAGUUGCCACU